rnacentral:misc_RNA from 1 species
GAUGAAGAACUCAGCGAAAUGCGAUAAGUAAUGUGAAUUGCAGAAUUCAGUGAAUCAUCGAAUCUUUGAACGCACCUUGCGCCCUUUGGCCAUUCCGAAGGGCAUGCCUGUUUGAGUAUCAUGAACACCUCAACUCUCAUGGCUUGCCAUGAUGAGCUUGGACUUUGGGGGUCUUGCUGGCCUGUGGUCGGCUCCUCUCAAAUGAAUCAGCUUGCCAGUGUUUGGUGGCAUCACAAGUGUGAUAACUAUCUGCGCUCGUGGUUUCCAUCAGAUAACCUCCAGUGAUGGAGGUUCGCUGGAGCUCAUAAAUGUCUCUCCUAAGCGAGGACAGCUCUUUUAAUGUUUGAUCUCAAAUCAGGUAGGACUACCCGCUGAACUUAAGCAUAUCAAUAAGGAGGA